CGGAAUAGCUCCUGGAAACGGGUGGUAAUGCCGAAUGUGCCCUUCGGGGGAAAGAUUUAUCGCCUUUAGAGCGGCCCGCGUCUGAUUAGCUAGUUGGUGGGGUAAUGGCCCACCAAGGCUACGAUCAGUAGCUGGUCUGAGAGGAUGACCAGCCACAUUGGGACUGAGACACGGCCCAAACUCCUACGGGAGGCAGCAGUGGGGAAUCUUGCGCAAUGGGCGAAAGCCUGACGCAGCCAUGCCGCGUGUAUGAUGAAGGUCUUAGGAUUGUAAAAUACUUUCACCGGUGAAGAUAAUGACUGUAGCCGGAGAAGAAGCCCCGGCUAACUUCGUGCCAGCAGCCGCGGUAAUACGAAGGGGGCUAGCGUUGCUCGGAAUUACUGGGCGUAAAGGGAGCGUAGGCGGACAUUUAAGUCAGAGGUGAAAUCCCGGAGCUUAACUUCGGAACUGCCUUUGAUACUGGGUGUCUUGAGUGUGAGAGAGGUAUGUGGAACUCCGAGUGUAGAGGUGAAAUUCGUAGAUAUUCGGAAGAACACCAGUGGCGAAGGCGACAUACUGGCUCAUUACUGACGCUGAGGCUCGAAAGCGUGGGGAGCAAACAGGAUUAGAUACCCUGGUAGUCCACGCCGUAAACGAUGAUUGCUAGUUGUCGGGAAGCUUGCUUCUCGGUGACGCAGCUAACGCA
rnacentral:rRNA from 1 species